UAGUGAAAAGUAUAAUGGAAUACGAAGAGUUUUGGUCUCUUAGAUGGAGGUUCAAGUCCUUUUUCUCUAG
rnacentral:tRNA from 1 species